UACAGAGGUCUCAAGCGUUGUUCGGAUUCAUUGGGCGUAAAGGGCGCGUAGGCGGCGCGGUAAGUCGGAUGUGAAAUCUCGGAGCUUAACUCCGAAACUGCAUUCGAUACUGCCGUGCUUGAGGACUGGAGAGGAGACUGGAAUUUACGGUGUAGCGGUGAAAUGCGUAGAUAUCGUAAGGAAGACCAGUGGCGAAGGCGGGUCUCUGGACAGUUCCUGACGCUGAGGCACGAAGGUCAGGGGAGCAAACGGG
rnacentral:rRNA from 1 species